rnacentral:lncRNA from 1 species
CAGGAAGUAAAUAUUUACGCAUAAUGAGAAGUCGAAACAAAUACACCGCACAAUUCAGAAAAACAACAUAAUAUUUUUUACCAACUGCUGCGCAUGCCUCUAAAAUGUUUUUCCUCUGAUGAUCGGAAGUAUUUUCCUCAGACUAGCUUCUGGUUCUGUACAUUUCAAAUCUGUUUCUGCUGUUUCUCCUCUGUUGCCUAUUCACUUUCAGGACCAGGCAGCAUAAAACACAUUCAGGUCACAAGAUGACCUCUGGAUGUGACAGCUUGAUGUCACAAUGCCGAAGAAGUUGGACAGCGAGUAGGAAGAUUUCUACCAGUCAUUCUCUACACAGAGGUGGCCAGCAAUGAUUUAUCUAUACUCAGAGGUGACUCAGAACCGCAUAAAUAUGUCCCACUGAACCCAAAGCAAAUUGAUCCCGAACUCAACUUCCCCAUAGCCAGAUCCCAGAAAUACCCAUGGCGCCUCCAACCACCUCACAUAAACGGAAACUGGGACACAAGGGAAGUUGGAGUAGAAAGAACUAGCAAUCUUAACUGAUUGUGGAUAAAACAUCUUACCUUCGCAAAUUUCCCAAGAACAUGAAGAGAUGAACACACUGCAGAGGCCCCUCCCUGGGCCUGAGGAGAGGCCCUGAUGCUCAGGAAGCUUUAGCUUCAUGCUGAGUCUGCCUCUGCGUUGAGCUGAGAUUUGAAGAGAAGAUCAGAUUCUUGUGCUUAAAACCUCCCAGGCUGGUCAGGGCCAGGAGACUCCAGGAGUCAUCACAAGAGAUUAAUGAGGUUGAGAGCCAGGGGCAGAGCAGGUUGUGAAGAUCGAAUAAUAACAUACUCGCUCACAGGCAGUGCACCUGACGAUCAGCGUCUACUGGCUGGGAAGACAAGAUUUGGACAUGAAAAGAUGAGAGAUCUACACUGUGACCUGAAUUGGGCAAUGCUCAGUUACACAGUAGAGGAGGCCCAGGCUCCUGAUUAUAAUGCUAUACUGCUUGGCGGUAAAAGGAAGUCUCUGGACAAGAUGACCUCUGAAGGCCUUUCCAGCUCAACUAUUCUUUGAUUUGCUGUCCCAUUUCUAGCUAUAUGAUGAAUAAACCAGCUUAUCCUCGAGAAGAAAGAAAUAAGGACUGUCUUUAGCCGUCUGAAAAGCUGUCAUAUUGGGCCCCUCCCAGCUCCUCCCAGCCAUUCGGAGCAGUAAGUGAAGAUGUCAGCACCUUGGACAGAGCCCAACGCAUUACAGUACUCGAAGCCAGCGGAAGCCAAGCUCUCCAACUCCUUUAGCCUCGGGGUGAUGGAUUUCCUCGUUUCUCAAUUUGAUUAAAGCCCAGUAGAUAACCAG